rnacentral:rRNA from 1 species
UUUGCCCUACGGGACGCAGCAGUGGGGGAUAUUGCACAAUGGGGGAAACCCUGAUGCAGCGACGCCGCGUGGGUGAAGAAGCGCCUCGGCGCGUAAAGCCCUGUCAGCAGGGAAGAAAAUGACGGUACCUGAAGAAGAAGCCCCGGCUAACUACGUGCCAGCAGCCGCGGUAAUACGUAGGGGGCAAGCGUUAUCCGGAUUUACUGGGUGUAAAGGGAGCGCAGGCGGCACGGCAAGCCUGAUGUGAAAGCCCGCGGCCCAACCGCGGGACUGCAUUGGGAACUACCGGGCUGGAGGGCCGGAGG